rnacentral:misc_RNA from 1 species
UUUCCGUAGGUGAACCUGCGGAAGGAUCAUUAUUGAAUAAACCUGAUGUGGUUGUAGCUGGCCCUUUCGGGAGCAUGUGCACACCCGUCGUCUUUAUCUUUCCACCUGUGCACCUUUUUUAGACCUGGAUGUAACACUUUCCGAGGCAACUCGGUCGGGAGGAAUGCUGUCAGCUUUCCUUGAAUGUCCAGGCCUAUGUUUUCAUAUACCCCAAAGAAUGUAACAGAAUGUAUUAUUGGGCCUUGUGCCUAUAAACUAUAUACAACUUUCAGCAACGGAUCUCUUGGCUCUC